GAUGAAGAACGUAGCGAAAUGCGAUAAGUAGUGUGAAUUGCAGAAGUACCGUGAAUCAUCGAAUCUUUGAACGCAAAUUGCACUCUCUGGUAUUCCGGGGAGUAUGCCUGUUUGAGGGUCGCUUAACAAACCAUCGAUUUCGUUGCUUUUUUUUUAAAAAAGUGAUGUUUAUCGGAUUUGAGCCGUCUUUUUUUUUUUAUAUUUAAGUGGCUUAAAAUUGAUUUUUUUUUGGUACGAUCGAAGCGUAUUUUUAUGAUCAAUUUUUGGUUAAAGAAACGCACACGUACCGUUAUUUAUAUGAUGUAAUACGUUUGACUAUCGGAUUUAGUUCAUUCGUAUACGAUAUUUUUCAAUAUUUGACCUCAAAUCAGGUAAGAACACCCGCUGAACUUAAGCAUAUCAAUAAGCGGAGGA
rnacentral:misc_RNA from 1 species